ACCACUUGGUAGAGAAAGCAUUUAAAGGGUUCCUCCUGUUCUUAGAAAAGGAUCAAACUCCUUCGUAUGACUUAAUGCAGGACAACUCUACGGGACAGUCUGCCCAGGACAAUCUGGGUUUGUACCUGUUACCCAAGCUUAGUGAUUAAUAACGUGCUCUUUCACUCUAUAAACAGUCCCCAUCUGGAGGAUAACGUAUAUGGUCACCUGCUUACAGGUCCUAUGUGAUCUGGCACAGCUGACCCCUCCAGCUCCACCCAGCAAUAGCCCACACACUGGCACAUGCUCCUUUCUCGCAGCGNNNNNNNNNGAUCAUGCCACUGCACUCCAGCCUGGCGACACAGCGAGACUCCAUCUCAAAAAACACAAAACAGAAGACAGCGUUGCUGAGAAUGUGGAAUAAUUGGGACCCUUUCUACCACUGGUGGGAAUGGGUAAGCACCUGCAUCAAACAAUGGCACUGAUCUCAGAGGGAUUUUAAACAGCUGUGCAUAAACUUCAAAAGUAAUUUGCAACCAUAUUAGUAAAUGUCACCCUUCUUCCCGCUAGACACAGCACUUUUAAAAGAGAUUAAGCAUCCGCAGUAAGCCUGCCAUUUUACAAGGGUUACCAAAGAUAAUAAGACACAUUUCUGGCAAGAUGAAACUAUUUUAUAUCUUUUUGAAAAAGUUAUUUAUUUUGUUUCGAUUGGGGUAGUGGUUACAUGAUACAUGUCUGGAAAAAAUCAUUGACUUGCACAAUUACAAUGUGUGAAUUAUAUUGUAGGUAAAUUAUUC
rnacentral:lncRNA from 1 species